GGGCAAAGUCACUAGUGAUUCAGGCGUAACACAUGCAACUAAAGCGGUAGAGAGAAGCUUGCUUCUCUAGAAAAAAAAAGGACGGGUGAGUAAUGCCUAGGAAUCUGCCUGGUAGUGGGGGAUAACGUUCGGAAACGGGCGGUAAUACGGCAUACGUCCUACGGGAGAAAGCAGGGGACCUUCGGGCCUGG
rnacentral:rRNA from 1 species